AACGAACGCUGGCGGCAUGCCUAACACAUGCAAGUCGAACGGGCAGGGGCAACCCUGUCAGUGGCGGACGGGUGAGUAACGCGUGGGAACCUGCCUCGAAGUCCGGAAUAACCGCGGGAAACUGCGGCUAAUACCGGAUGUGGCCCGAGGGCCAAAGGGGAAACUCGCUUCGAGAGGGGCCCGCGUCCGAUUAGCUAGUUGGUGAGGUAACGGCUCACCAAGGCGACGAUCGGUAGCUGGUCUGAGAGGAUGAUCAGCCACACUGGGACUGCGACACGGCCCAGACUCCUACGGGAGGCAGCAGCGGGGAAUAUUGGACAAUGGGGGCAACCCUGAUCCAGCAAUGCCGCGUGAGUGAUGAAGGCCUUCGGGUUGUAAAGCUCUUUUGGCGGGGACGAUGAUGACGGUACCCGCAGAAUAAGCCCCGGCUAACUUCGUGCCAGCCGCCGCAGUAACAC
rnacentral:rRNA from 1 species